rnacentral:rRNA from 1 species
UUCCGGUUGAUCCUGCCGGAGGCCAUUGCUAUCGGAGUCCGAUUUAGCCAUGCUAGUCGUGCGAGUUCAGACUCGCGGCACCGAGCUCAGUAACACGUGGCCAAACUACCCUACAGAGACGGAUACCCUCGGGAAACUGAGGUUAACCCGUCAUACCGAUCUCAGGCUUGAAUCGCAGAGAUCACAAAAUGCCCCGGCGCUGUAGGAUGUGGCUGCGGUUGAUUAGGUAGACGGUGGGGUAACGGCCCACCGUGCCCAUAAUCAGUACAGGUUGUGAGAGCAAGAACCUGGAGACGGAAUCUGAGACAAGAUUCCGGGCCCUACGGGGCGCAGCAGGCGCGAAACCUUUACACUGCACGCACGUGCGAUAAGGGGACUCCGAGUGCGAGGGCAUAUCGUCCUCGCUUUCGUGUACCGUAGGGUGGUACACCAACAAGGGCUGGGCAAGACCGGUGCCAGCCGCCGCGGUAAUACCGGCAGCCCGAGUGAUGGCCGAUCUUAUUGGGCCUAAAGCGUCCGUAGCUGGCUGCGCAAGUCCGUCGGGAAAUCCACUCGCCCAACGAGUGGGCGUCCGACGGAAACUGCACAGCUUGGGACCGGAAGGCUCGAAGGGUACGUUCGGGGUAGGAGUGAAAUCCCAUAAUCCCGCACGGACCACCGAUGGCGAAAGCACUUCGAGAAAACGGAUCCGACAGUGAGGGACGAAAGCCAGGGUCUCCAACCGGAUUAGAUACCCGGGUAGUCCUGGCCGUAAACAAUGUUCGCUAGGUAUGACACAGACUACGUGUCUCUGUUGUGCCGUAGGGAAGCCGAGAAGCGAACCGCCUGGGAAGUACGUCUGCAAGGAUGAAACUUAAAGGAAUUGGCGGGGGAGCACUACAACCGGAGGAGCCUGCGGUUUAAUUGGAGUCAACGCCGGGAA